GACGAACGCUGGCGGCGUGCUUAACACAUGCAAGUCGAACGAAGUGGCGAACGGGUGAGUAACGCGUAAUCAACCUGCCCUUCAGGGGGGGAUAACAGGUAGCAACGACUGCUAAUACCGCAUACUGAAGGAGGGGAGUGCGUCUGAUUAGCUAGUUGGAGGGGUAACGGCCCACCAAGGCGACGAUCCGUAGCUGGUCUGAGAGGAUGACCAGUCACACUGGAACUGAGACACGGUCCAGACUCCUACGGGAGGCAGCAGUGGGGAAUAUUGGACAAUGGGCGAAAGCCUGAUCCAGCCAUGCCGCGUGUGUGAAGAAGGUCUUCGGAUUGUAAAGCACUUUAAGUUGGGAGGCGUUACCAACAGAAGAAGCACCGGCUAACUCCGUGCCAGCAGCCGCGGUAAUAC
rnacentral:rRNA from 1 species